rnacentral:rRNA from 1 species
UACGAAGGGGGCUAGCGUUGUUCGGAAUUACUGGGCGUAAAGCGCACGUAGGCGGAUUUGUUAGUCAGGGGUGAAAUCCCGGGGCUCAACCUCGGAACUGCCUUUGAUACUGCAAGUCUCGAGUCCGGAAGAGGUGAGUGGAAUUCCCAGUGUAGCGGUGAAAUGCGUAGAUAUUGGGAGGAACACCAGUGGCGAAGGCGGCUCACUGGACUGGUACUGACGCUGAUGGCGCGAAAGCGUGGGGAGCAAACAGG